UACGAAGGGGGCUAGCGUUACUCGGAAUUACUGGGCGUAAAGGGCGCGUAGGCGGCUUGGCCAGUCAGGCGUGAAAUUCCUGGGCUUAACCUGGGGACUGCGCUUGAUACUGCCAGGCUUGAGGCCGAGAGAGGGUGGUGGAAUUCCCAGUGUAGAGGUGAAAUUCGUAGAUAUUGGGAAGAACACCGGUGGCGAAGGCGGUCACCUGGUCCGGUACUGACGCUGAGGUGCGAAAGCGUGGGGAGCAAACAGG
rnacentral:rRNA from 1 species